rnacentral:SRP_RNA from 1 species
GCUGGGUGUGGUGGCGGACACCUGUAAUCUCAGCUACUUGGGAGGCUGAGGCAGGAGAAUCGCUUGAACCCAGGAGGUGGAGGUUGCAGUGAGCCAAGAUCGUGCACUGCACUCCAUCCUGGGUAUAAGAGUGAGACUCCGUCUCAA